UACGUAAGAGACUAGUGUUAUUCAUCAUAAAUAGGUUUAAAGGGUACUCAGAUGGUAAAAUUUGCCUUGAUAAGGGACAAUUUUUCUAGAGUUUUAUGUAAGGAGGUCGUACUCGUGAGUGUAGAGAUCAAAUUCGUUGAUACCACGGGGACUGAUAAAGGCGAAGGCAACCUUUUAUGCAAAAACUGACAUCGAAGGACGAAGGCACAGAGCACUAACAGG
rnacentral:rRNA from 1 species